rnacentral:rRNA from 1 species
GCAGCCAUGCCGCGUGUAUGAAGAAGGCCUUCGGGUUGUAAAGUACUUUCAGCGGGGAGGAAGGCGAUGUGGUUAAUAACCGCGUUGAUUGACGUUACCCGCAGAAGAAGCACCGGCUAACUCCGUGCCAGCAGCCGCGGUAAUACGGAGGGUGCAAGCGUUAAUCGGAAUUACUGGGCGUAAAGCGCACGCAGGCGGUCUGUUAAGUCAGAUGUGAAAUCCCCGGGCUUAACCUGGGAACUGCAUUUGAAACUGGCAGGCUUGAGUCUCGUAGAGGGGGGUAGAAUUCCAGGUGUAGCGGUGAAAUGCGUAGAGAUCUGGAGGAAUACCGGUGGCGAAGGCGGCCCCCUGGACGAAGACUGACGCUCAGGUGCGAAAGCGUGGGGGAGCAAACAGGAUUAGAUACCCUGGUAGUCCACGCCGUAAACGAUGUCGACUUGGAGGUUGUUCCCU